CGAUGUGGAGACGGUGACGGAGGAGGAGGUCGUAGUUUCUGUGAAUGGAUCCUCCGAGAGAGUUUUCAACGGGGAGAACUGCACGGUCAGCGAUCCAGAGCUCAACGGCUUGGAAUGCAACUUCGAAUUGAUCACAAGGUAUGGCUUCACAUUUCGGAUAAGCUUUACCGGCGGCAGCUUCGCUGUACGCUCCAGGUACACCUUGGUAAGCGACGCGAAGCUGAGCACCGUGCAUCGGCGCUGGGGAGAGGUCAGUGAUGGUGAGCGGCUUAGGUUGGUUAUCGAUUGGAACUAGAUCGAGAUCCAUCGUCGCCUUAUGGCCGUUCACGGCGGUGAUGUUACCAGCGCCGCCACUCUUCUCAGCGUUCUGCUGCUGCGACACAACUUUACUUGCUAAAAUCGCACAGGAACUCUGCCAGUCGGCUCUAGAACCGCCGACGUGUCCGGCAGAGUUGGUAUUCGCGGUACCGGUGUUGACGGCGGCGUUGGCCGCGUCAAACCGGUAAACGCAUCUGAUAACCGGUCGAAUCGGGUUAACCCGGUUCGACUGUAUCUUCGUCCGGAUUAAGGAUUUGAGAUUUAUCCCCGACGAUGAUGGAGUAAGCGAUUGCAUUUUUCUAGGGUGCAAAUUGCAAUUACUCUAUAAAAUUAGGGGUGUAAUUGAGAAUAAAAUGAAAAUAUAAAAAGAGAGAAAUUUAUUUGAAGCUUGUAGUUCUAAGGGAACAUCCAAGCUGAGAAAUGAAAGAAAUGAACAUGGUAUUUAUAUUGGGGAGUGGGUGGGUGAAGGAGGUUUGGUCAAUCUCACACCUACCACUUUUUUCCUCUUAUUAAUUAUUAAUUUCAUGUUCAAUCGAAAAUAUUUUUCCUACCUUUACAUAAACCUUAAAUAGAUUACAUUUCAUGUUGGAAUAAAAAAAAAAUAUUACUUUCUCGGUAUCAUUUAUGUGACAUUAUUUAACUUGAUAUGUUAUUUUAAAAGAAUUAAUUUUGAACGUUAUAAUCUAAAAUAAUUCUUACAUAUUUAUUUGUCUGUAAAUAAAAGAGGAAAUUAAAAUUAAAUUGUUUCUAAUUAUAGUAAAGUGGUUUUUUGAAACGAACUAUAAAAAAAAAAGAUAAACACAUAUGGGUUUAAGAAAGUAAGAAAUGUCGCAAUACAAACCAAAAUAGACACAAAAAAAAUAAAGGGGAUUUUUUCCGACUAUUUAACACCCCUUAGUAUAAGGUUGUUCCAUCACUAAUUAUUUAUCCUAGUAAUUUUUUUAAAAGAUUAUUUUCAAGUUUCUAAAAUGAUGGGUAUUUUACUUGUUCGGUUUUAAUUUGUCUAUCUUCUUUUGACUUGACAUAAAAUUUAAGAAAAUAAAAGACUUUCGAAUUUUAUGGUCUUAAUUAAAGAUAUGCCAAAUAUAUCAUGUAUUCUUCCCUAAUUACUUGUCCACUUUUGAAAAUGACACACCAAUUAAAAAAACAAUGUUUGACAUAAUGAAUUUAUCAUUUUACUCGUAUUAACUAUGAAGUAGAUGAAUUAAAAAUUUAAGAUUUUCAAGAAUUUCUACUUUUUUCAAAGUAAUUAAUUGAGGGUAUAAUAGGUAAAUUUUUUUGUCUUUUCUUGAUUUGUCAAAAUAAACAAGUAAAAAAAAAUUGAACAAAUAUUAGAAAUAGAGAAAAUAUCUCUUUAAUCAUAUGGUGUUAAAUAUAUCAUAUGAAAAAUUAAAAUUAUAAAAAAAAAUCAAUAUUCGUUUUAAAACUAAUUUUAAAAAGUUAUGAUAACCCAAUUGAACAAAGAAUAAUAUUACUCAUUUAUUAAGUCUAAUAAUAAUACAUAGUUGUUGAAAUGAUGCAUAAAAAUACACACACGUUUCAAUCUAGACAUCCACAUAUAUACAUGUGAAUUUGUAGUGUGGUUUCUUUCAACUUUCAAGGAAGAUAGAGACAAGUAGACAACUAUUGUCACCUUUUUUUACUUUUUAUGUUAUAUUAUAUAUUAAAUUAAAAUUGUAAGAUUUAGUCCAACUAAGGAAAAAUAAUAAUUAAAAGAGGUUCAAAUUUAUUAUGCUCUAAUAGUAGAUAUUCAUGGGCAUAAAAGAAUUUCAUAGAAAUAGCGUCAUUCCCACCAACCACUUUUCAGUCAUAUCUUUCAAAAAUAAUUACAGUUUUUAAAUUUUAAAUUUAAUACGUAAAGUCUUAUGAUAUUACUUUAUUUAUAAAAUUAUAAGACGGUAAAUUUUAAAAGUAAUUAUUUGUAAACUUUACCUAUUGUACUACAACAAACUUAUAUAGUUACAUUAACAUGGAGUUGAAUUGAAGAAGAUUCAACCUCCAAUAAAUUUUUCAAAUCAAACUCCCAAAAAUAUCAUUGUUUUUUAUCCUCUUUGACUUAAUUUAUGUAGCAUUAUUUAAAUUUCGAGAAUCAAAUAAUAUAAUUUGAUCAUGAAUUUGGAUAUAAACUGGUAAUUCAUGAUAUUUAAAAAGUAUAUGAAAAAAUAUGAUUACGAAAAACUUGUUUAAAUUUUGAAAUUCGAAAGGAGACAAAUAGAUUGAGACGAAGGAAGUACUAAUUAGCUUUGGUUUUAUUUUAACCAUUGAAUUCCCCCUUGAGUAAAUAUUUUUUUCGGAUGAUUAACUAUAUAUUCAGACUAAAGAAGUUCUAUGAAAUUAUUUCACAUGAUUUUAUCGAUUAUUUUGAUCGUAGAAUAUUAUUGAGAAAUAGAAAUUUAAGAAAAAAUUUAAAUAAAAUAGUACAAAGUUUGGGAAGAAACAAAAUUUCACAUUUAAUAUGGGAUGAUUAAAUAUUUCUUUAUUCAUUCCUAUCCGAUCAAAAGACAUCACUAUAUUUUGAGAUACUAUCUCUGUCCAUUUUUAAUUGUCAUAAUUUCUUUUUUUAGAGUAAAAUGAUAAUAACAUUGACUAACAUUUUACAAUGUAUUUUUUCAUCACAUUGAUAUGCAAAAAAAUGGAAUAUAUAGUACUUUUGGUAUAGUUUUUAGUAUCCAAUUUUUAAAAUUAAAAUAUUAAAUGAAUGUAAUCUAAUUUAACUUUGAAAAUUAGUCAACUUGAAUUUCGAAAAGCGCAACAUGACAAAUAUAAAUGGACAGAGGGAAUAGUAAAAGUGUAGUUCGUCCUCUUUAUGUGAAGGUUUGAAUCAAAGAUCUUCGCGACACAUCAUAGAAGAGCUAACCAUUUCAAUAAUAUAUCAAAAUUAACUCUCUUGGUUGAAAGGAAUUCCUAUAGCUCAUAGGUAUGAGAUACAAACAAUUUCUAUGAAAGAAUUAAUUCUACAAGGUUAUGGUGAACCCCGGAUGCUGAAGGCAUUUUUGGGUGAUUUCGUAGUUUCUACGGGAUGAACAUGCUUAGAUUGGUUUAUGGAUUUUUUUUCUUUUGCUACAUUUCACGCAAAGGGUUGAAGGCGCUUGCUUAGUAGACGGAAUUUCAUGAGAUGUGACAGAAGUUGUAGAGAUAAAAGUAUGUUUAAAACUAAAUACUCUUGCUAUGAAUAAAUGAUCCUCUUCUGAUAAUUCGUCCAAUUCAAAAUAGCCAUCAUGUCCGGUAGUUUAUUAUAGCGUUAUAAAGUUUACUUAACAUUUUUUUUACUUUUUUAUUUAUUUACUAGAUCUUUGGUACCUAUAAAAAUAUAACUUCUUAUUUCUAUUUUCUUUUUGCAGUAAAAUACCUAAAAGAAAGUGUGGUUGGGAGUGGAAAAUCUUGGAACGUAUAAAUGGUCCAAUAAUAUCGCAUGAUUGAAGAAGGCAAAUACCGCUUAUAAAAGGCUCUUAACAAUAUCGUAUGACUGAAGAAGGCAAAUAUCGCUUGUAAAAGGCUCUUUCAUCGAGCGAGCAAUCUUGACAAAACUUAAGGUAAGUGAUGUAAAGUGUUUUCUUCGAUACAACUAAUGUUCGAGUGAUUCCAUAUAUUGCGAUAGGAUGAUUUUUCUCAAUGUUUAUUGGAAUACUUUUAAAUUUUCAAUGUGUUUAGUGUAAUUGUUAUUUUUUAUAGAAUUUUGUUUCAUUUUCGAAGAACUUUUUUUUAUAUAAGAAAUUGCUCAAGGAAUGGUUUUAAAUGUAAAAAGGACUAUUGUUUUAUUUUGAAAAAAAUAAGUAAAACUACAACAUGCGGUGACUUUUUUCAAAAGAAAUUGUAUGCGUGAAAGUUAAUUAUCUAAGCUUAGCUUAGUGGUGCAUUUAAUCAAAAGAUUAAAUCUUGGAGUUGUCUUUGUUCCUUUUCUCUUCUAAUGAUGAUGAUAAAAUGGUGUUAAUUAAUAAUUUAUCUUAUAGUUAAUAGGAGUAAAAGUUUGCACAACUAUAGGAAAUUUAUUGGAAAAAAAAAGAGAGGAAGACCAUUGUAAUUAUAAUACAUUUGAAGUUAGUGGUUAUUGAUCAACUUCAGUUUAUUGAUAACAUAAUUCUAGAUAAAAAAAUAUAAUAGUCGAAAAUAAGGAUAAAAGUGUAAUAGAUAGCCGAGUCGUAUUGUACUUUAUGUGGGAGAGGGAGCCUCCUCCUCUCCUCUUCUCAGUAUUAAUACAUUCUCUUAUUUUUCAAAAUGCAUAUUACUAUAUGUUGCUUCAUUGCUUUGUCUCUUGCUCUUCUACCGUCUUUCUUUUUUCUUUUGCAAAUCUGCUUAAAAACUUUUCUUUUAAAUCAAGGUUUAGCGAAAACAAUGUCUUUACCUCACAAAAUUUAAAAGGAAAAUCGAUGCAUAUUCUACCUUAUCUAUACCCCACAUGUAAGAAUUGGUUGUGGUGGUUCUUUGACCUUUGUUAUUGCUCCUCUUGAUAAUUUCAAGCACAUCUUUUAGGGUAGGUAAAGGUAUUAGUAGUGUAGUAUUUGAUUACCACCAAUAUCCACUACUUAUAUAUAGGCCUGAAUGUGACAGUCUAACAUUUCUGCUUCACCUAUAUGGUUCCACACUUACAUAUACAAUUUUCUAAAAAAAAAUUCUUUCGUUUUAAUUUGUUUGUCUUAUUUUUAAUUUUUUUUUAUAUUUAAAAAUUGCGUAAAAAAUACUAUAAAUCAUGAUAAUUGACAACUUAAAAUAUUUUUUUUUAAAAAAACAUAUAAAAAAUCGAUUGCUUUAAAAAAAAUUCGAUUGAUUCAUAAAAUUAAUCUUUCUAUGUCACAAAUGGGACAAAAGAGGUAACAUGUAUUAUUUAAUUUAGAAAUUACAUAAAAAGUAUUGUAAAUCUCAAUUAUUAACAACAUAUUGACUCUUGAAAUUCUAUUUGUGCUACAUAUAUUGAGACAAGGGAAGUAACAUAUAUUGUUUAAAAAUAAUGUAAAAAGUACUAUAAAUUACAAUAAUUAACAACUUGAAGUAUUUUAAAAUCAUAUUUAAAAUUUAAUUGACUCUCUAAAUUUUAUCUUAUCACAUAAAGUGAGAUAAAAAAAAAUAACAGAUAUUGGGCCCGUACUAGCACGGCCACUUGUGUUUAGUAAAUUAUAAUGGGAUAGUUUGGGAGUCGGAAUCCUUCACCUUCAAUAAAAGACCUCAAAAUCGAGUUUAUGGAAAUGAAAAAAAAAAUCAAAUAGUAACGCAAUACAUCUUUAUCAUAACAAAAAUAAAUCAUGAUAAGGAAAUAUCUUACUAUACAUUAAUGAUUAAUUCAACAGUGUAUUGCGAAGUUACUAUGGUUAUAAAAAGAUAAGUUCAUUUUUGAGACGUACUUUGAUACAAUGUUUUUUAUCAAAGAUAAUUUUAUUUUCUGGGCUCGAAUUGAAACAUUUAACUCGAGAUUUUAUAUUUAAAAAAUUGUUUAUAUCACUCUUUUCUUGAUAUUCUACGUAUGAUAUUUCUACAUGUCAAUUUUAAGUUGAUAUCUUCUUCAAAUAUUGACGAUAAAUGUCAGUAUUGAGAAAUGAGAAAUAGAUAUGUCUUUGUAUAGGUGUCUUUAAUUAGAGCCAUAAAUUUAUAAUUUAGAAAAAACAUGGAAUAAAAGGAAUAAAUAAAUAUCAAUAUAAAUAUCUCAACGUUGUAUAAGAUGAUUUGUAUAUGCAGAGUCAGAUUUUAAAAUUAAAAUUUUAUGUGUUUAAUUCUUAAAGUUUCGAAGGAUUAAAUUUAUUAUAUUAUUGUUCAUUUUUAUUAUUUGUUGUAACUUUAAUAAAUUCUUACUAACAAAUUUAUGUUUUGCAUUGAAAAUAUUGAGUUUGAGUGAAUCCCAUGAAGUUGGAUCCACUCUGCGUGUAUAAUUGGUUCAUCUGAACAUAGUAUUUUUAACGUAGAAUCUCAAGUAUUGAAGACAUAAAUUUAAGAAUAUAAAGAAUUCAACUCUACAAAUCAUAAUAAUUGAAUUUAUAAAAUUUAAAUUCAGAAUUUGUUCGUGUAUAUGUUGGUGACUUGAUGUAGAUAUUAACUUUAGAAUGAGUUUGACUUUUAUGGAAGUUUCUGAAAUUGUGCUAUCACUCAUUUUCAAUUUUAUUGGUUAACUUCUCCAAUUAUUAUUAUGUUACUUUUAAGAUUCAAUAUAUUAGAUUUUAAAGUAAACAUAAUAAAUAAAACAACAUGAUGCAUUAAGUUUUCGUUAUACACACAAUUUAAAAAAAGACCGAUUAUAAGAUUCUAUUAUAAGGAUGCGAUAAAUAAAUCUAUGUGAUUCAAUUUUUUCUUGCACAACAUAUAAUAGAAACUUAGUGCACAUUUUCUAUUUUUAUUUUUAACCUAAAAGUAGAUAAAUUGGAUUUUGGUAGUGCAUUAGAACUAAAUUCAUUGAAUGUAGACAGGGUAUGAUACUAUAGAUUAAAUUCUAUUAAUCUAGAAAAUUACGUAUUCAAUAUGCGUUCUAUACAACAUAAUACAAUUCAGUUUGAACGUAUGUCACAUCAAUUGACAUGUAGAACGCAUGUAUCUACUUAACUUUAUACAAGUUUAAAUAUCUAAUUGUACACACUCAAAGUCAUUAAGCAAAAAUAUCAACUAAAACCAAGUUAAAGGAUACGCUUAUGAUCAAAUUAAUACCUUCUUUUCUCUUUGUAGGACUUACCGACAAACCUCUCCACACUA
rnacentral:lncRNA from 1 species